rnacentral:lncRNA from 1 species
AGGUGAAGGGGGAGGUAAAAGGAGCUUGCAGAAGGGUGCUUAGCCCAGACUCGAGGGUCAAGGAAGGAUCCUAGAAGGCCGUGGAGGUGGGAUAAAUCAAGGGGGAGUGUGGGAGCUAAUGUUCUGGGGCAGAAAGAGCAGCAAACGUGCUGAGGCUCAGAGGUGAGAAAGAAAGCAGUACCGCAAAAGAUAUGGCGGGAGAGUGUGAGAAAAUCGAAGCAAACCAAACCCAAAUCCAUCCCGCCGCCCACCUUCAUAGUCAGAGUGCCUUACACAUGCUGUAUUUCUGACACAGAAGUAGCCUUCCUUGGCUGAUACUGUCUAAACUGAUGGGUGAAACGAACUGAUUUUUGUUUUCAUUUUUAAAAAUUGGGAACAGUGUUGUGCUGAUCAUCCCUGUUACAUGUGUCUCAGGGCCCCUGUCCAGUCAUUUCUUCUCAGGAAAUUCCUAGAAGUGGAAUACCUGGGUGAAACACAAAUGCAUAUCAAGACUUUUGACAAAUUUUGCCGUAGGGUUUUAUUCAUACUCCUACCACUGUAACAGACUGGCCCUCAAUCUGGAUCUUGCUUCUCAGGUUAAGGCAGUGCUGCCCUGGCUCCAGCAAAUCUUUUUGAAAAUGUUAAUCCGCUGGAGUUCCUUUUGGAGUCUAUUUUUUUAGGACAGAAAUUUGUGAAAAGUUUGUUAUCUUGUGUUUAGAGUGUUGUCGUUGGCAAAUCCUUCUUAAAAACAUAUUCUUGAUUCUUGGAGCAUUAAGAUCUCUUCCCGUGCCGUUUGUAGGCAGCCCAGAGGGGGAAACAUGGAAUGUCCAUGCUGGAAUUCACAGGCCUCUGUCCAGCAGGGAGGCUGCCAGGUUCAGGAUGGAGGAAGCACCUUGCCCAAGGUCACUCUGCCUCUGGGGCAAGAAUGAGUCCUGUCUUUAGUUCAGGUUUCUAAAUUUCCACCCAGAGCUCUUCCCCUAACUCCCAAACUUUAAUACUAACACAUCCAACAAAGGGUUUGUAGGGAUGUGCCAGUUCUUCUGUAAAGUGUCCAUGGUGGCAUUAUCCUUUGCUUUGCCCUCCCUCUGUCCCAUGUGGAACUUCCAGUUAAUGAAUAAAAGGUCAGGUGACAAGUGAUACACUUUCUGAUGGGAUUUUGCUAUGAAUUGUUGAGCAUGAUUUUGUGUGCAUAUUUGGGGAACAGCGGUUUCCUUACAGCACUCAUUUACAUGGCUAAUUACCACGUGCUGCACUUGUGAGCCAGCUCUGUUGGAUAGGGGCAGGACAGGGGCAGGGAGAUGCCACCAAGGACAUAACACAAAACACCCAAAUUAGGCUUUGUCAUGACUGCACAAUUAGAGGCUCAUUUUAGAUAAACCUAGUGACUUAUUAUUGUGAUUCUCAAGGUUGAGGCUUCGGAGAGAACUCAGUGACAUUAAAGAGACCAACUUCAGGUCACAGGGAACAAUUUUUGAUAAAUUUCUUUACAGUGUGUGUGGGGAGGCAAAUGAAUUCUCAAUUCCGAAUAAAGGUUCAGUUUGCAUUCCUCUAAUUCUUAAUAAAGCUCUCACUGAGACCAAAUGAAAAAAUGUUUUUUUUCCUGUUUCCCCUCCUUUGAUUGCCACAUAGUUUUAUAAGAGGAAAGAGGAGUAACUUCUAUUUUAUUGGGGUUGUUUUUUUUUUUUGUAUUUUUAUUGCCCUGGACCUAGUUAAAUCUCAAUUUUAGAAGCUUGUGAUUCUUCCCAGUGUGGGUGACCUUUGUUUUUAAUCUUUGGUGAUUCAAUUUUUGUGCUUUGAUUUCUAAAACAGACCACUGUGUGGGUAAUCUGGGAUUAUACAGUUCAGUAGUCACCUGUAACCCAAAACAACCAUUUCUAAGUUUCAUCUUUUUCUGUAGACCCACAGUUCAGAAUCUCCUUUGGAUGCAGAUUCUGGAAUCAGACAUUUUUUUUGUUCCUCUCCCAGCUUACCUCUUAACAUCUCAAAGACUAAGAGUAAAUUUUCUCACCUGUGCAAUUGGAUGGCAAUGGUGUCCACAUUAAAAAAUAAAAAAGACUCCAUAGCAUCUUUGUCAAGCUAUCAUAUGAACAUUUGCAUGUUGUUGCAUAGAUGCACAUAUUUUAAAUGAAUCUUAUACAGUUCCUAAUGGAGAGGACAUAUUUUUUAAAUGCUUGGCUUUUCUUUUUUCGUUUGUGAGAACUACAUUGUGCUUAAUUACUAUUUACAUCACUGUAACAUAAUAUUGAUGACAGAGUUAGAGUUUCCUUUUUAAUUAACUGUACAAGAAAUAAAAUAGAACAUUGUUUUCUUUUUCUGUUGAAAAAAAUGUUCAUAUCGCAGGGUCUUGGUGAGGAUUCAGGGAGAUAAAGUGGAUAAAGCUCUUAGCAAGGUACCAAGCCUAUCAUAAGAAUUCACCAAAUACUAUCAAAAUGUAACAUGACUGGUUAUGUAAAAUUAAAAAGUUUUUUUAGAUUACAUUUGCCAUUUUAAGCUUUUAUACCUGUGCUGACCAUGAGUUCCAUUACUGAGAAAUGGCCAACUUCAGUUAUAGGUGUGGAAACAUGUAUUUCUUUAACAGUUACUAAGUUGUCAGUAAGUGAUCAUCCUGGUGAUUGAUAUUUGUAGUAAAUGUCAUGCAUAAAUGUUCUUUUGGUGAAAAGAGCUCGUUUUGAAAGAAUAGAUGAUGUUUCUUCAUUGUACUAUCAAGUAAAAUGAAGGAGAAAGGGCUAUUUGUGAGAUCUCAAAUAUCCUGAUGCAUAAUUUUCUUUUAAAGGUAUUUUAAUUUGAUGUAUUAAUGUAGAUAUUCUUAAGCUAAUAGUAAUAUGAUUUCUGGCCAUAAUAACAAUCGACUGCUGUUCUUAAAAUCUUUGCAUCCUGAAAAAUUUCAACAUGUACAAAAAUAAAGAGGGUAGUAUCAUAAGCCUCUAUGUACUUAUCACCUAAUUUCAACAAUUAGCAAUACAUGGCCAAUCCUUUUUAAUGCUUUAUUUUUCCUUUAGCCAGAUUUCUUGAGAUAUAAUUAACACCUAACAUUGUGUACAUUUAAAGUGUAUAGUGUCGUGAUUUGAUACAUAUACCUAUUGUGAAUAAUUACCACAGUAAGUUUAGUUAUUCCUUUGAAUCUGGAUGUCUUUUAUUUCUUUUUCUUGACUAAUUGCUAUGGCUAGGACUUCCAGUACCUGUGGCAUAUGGAGGUUCCCAGGCUAGGGGUUUCAUCAGAACUGUAGCUGCCGGCCUACGCCAGAGCCACAGCAACGCCAGAUCCAAGCCGAGUCUGUGAACUACACCACAGCUCAUGGCAACACCAGAUCCUUUAACCCACUGAGCGAGGCCGGGGAUUGAACCCGCAACCUCAUGGUUCCUAGUCGGAUUCGUUAACCACUGAGUCACGACGGGAACUCCCACAAGAUAUUGUUUAGAAAAACAUUCUACACAUGAUUGGAAUCCCAGAAGGAGAAGAGGAGAAUGAGGCAGAAAGUCUAAUUUAAAGAAAUAAUGACUGAGAAUUUCUCAAAUCUGAGGAGAUUUAGAUAUCGGACUUCAUGAAACUAAUCUGGUCACACCAAAAUUUCAAUCCAAAGCAGUCUUCUCCAAGAUUGUGUCUUCUUCAAGACACAAUAUACCUAUCUAAAAUCAAAGACAUAUGCACCCGUGGAAUAUGGAAGCUCCCAGGCUUGGGGUCGAAUUGGAGCUAUAGCUGCUGGUCUACACCAGAGCCACAGCAACGCAGGAUCUGAGCUGUGUCUGUGACCUACACCACAGCUCAUGGCAGCACUGGAUCCUUAACCCACUGAUCAAGGCCAGGGGUCAAACCUGCAUCCUCAUGAAUACUAGUUCGGGGCGUUACCACUGAGUCAUGGCAGGAGCCCCUCAAAUAUUUUAAAUUCUAACGUCAUCAAAUAUCUAGCCAGUUCUCAGAUUUCUCCAAUUAUUUGGUGAAUAUUGUUUUAUAGUUUGAAUACCACUU